CAGGGAUAGCCUUUCGAAAGAAAGAUUAAUACCUGAUGGUAUGAUGAGAUUGCAUGAUAGCAUCAUUAAAGAUUUAUCGGUGUACGAUGGGGAUGCGUUCCAUUAGGUAGUAGGCGGGGUAACGGCCCACCUAGCCAACGAUGGAUAGGGGUUCUGAGAGGAAGGUCCCCCACAUUGGAACUGAGACACGGUCCAAACUCCUACGGGAGGCAGCAGUGAGGAAUAUUGGUCAAUGGACGAGAGUCUGAACCAGCCAAGUAGCGUGAAGGAUGAAGGUCCUACGGAUUGUAAACUUCUUUUAUAAGGGAAUAAACCCUCCCACGUGUGGGAGCUUGUAUGUACCUUAUGAAUAAGCAUCGGCUAACUCCGUGCCAGCAGCCGCGGUAAUACGGAGGAUGCGAGCGUUAUCCGGAUUUAUUGGGUUUAAAGGGAGCGCAGACGGGUCGUUAAGUCAGCUGUGAAAGUUUGGGGCUCAACCUUAAAAUUGCAGUUGAUACUGGCGUCCUUGAGUGCGGUUGAGGUGUGCGGAAUUCGUGGUGUAGCGGUGAAAUGCUUAGAUAUCACGAAGAACUCCGAUUGCGAAGGCAGCACACUAAUCCGUAACUGACGUUCAUGCUCGAAAGU
rnacentral:rRNA from 1 species